UACAGAGGUCCCGAGCGUUGUUCGGAUUCACUGGGCGUAAAGGGUGCGCAGGUGGGCUGGUAAGUUCGAUGUGAAAGCCCCGGGCUUAACCCGGGAAAGGCAUUGGAUACUACUGGUCUGGAGGAUUGGAGGGGGACUGGAAUUCUUGGUGUAGCAGUGAAAUGCGUAGAUAUCAAGAGGAACACCAGUGGCGAAGGCGAGUCCCUGGACAAUACCCUGACACUGAGGCACGAAAGCCAAGGGAGCAAACAGGAUUA
rnacentral:rRNA from 1 species